rnacentral:lncRNA from 1 species
UAGUACAAAUACAGUAGCAGUGGACAAGAACAACAACAAUGUCAUAGUCCCUCACAAGCUCAAGGUCAUCUGAUGGUACCCAUCUACUUUUAAUUGGGUAAAUAUUCCAAUCAUCAUAGGCAUAGGUUCUUACCUUGAAUAACAUAUGUUACCAUCAAGUCAGAACAUGUAUGCAAGAUCAAAAAAAAUGGUAUCACCAGGUAGUCAACCAACAGGAAAGCUCAAUUAACUAGAACAAAGACAUGUCAUCCAUCACAAAGACAAGGUGCAGGUGUUCAUGUUUACACACCCAACAUAUCCCUCCCAAUCACCUCUACAAAGUGGAACCAUGUGUCCUAUUCUAUACAAAAAUAUAUGCAGCCUUGGAUAAGCUCCAAAUGGUGUCUCUACCCUCACCAUUAGUGGUUAGUGCUAACCCAAAAUGUCAGACUAUAGCAUAGGCAAGCAAAAUAUCAGAUGGCAGUCCUUAAGCACCUAGAGGAAGUUGGCUUGGCUCAGGUAGGUCCUAAGCCAAAGGAUCCUAUGGGCUUCACUCAUCUGAACAAAGCAUAGGCCUUCUGCUUUGUUCUUCAGCAAGUACACAAGUGCAAACAUCAGGGCCUCCUGUGAGUACCCAGGACAGGACAUGACACAACCAUAAAGAUCCUCAUGGACCUCAUUGUGCUGAGGAGCCUUGAGGGCAUCUGCAACAGAGGCAACAACAACAGUCAUACCAUGCAUCAACUGGUAUUCUUCCUCACACAACUUCCUCCUUUUACCACCUCUUCCUUCCUUAUCAUCAGAACCCUUAGAGGUGUCCAGCCCAUUGGAGGCUGCAUUUUGCUUACCAAAAUCAUCCUCAUUCCCAUCUAAAUUAAUUGUCUCUGAUCUAACAUCUCCCCC